CUGACAUUAGGCGCUGCAGAAAAAGGAUUCAUCUGGAUUACUUCAUUUUAUUUAUCUUUCAAUGCAAAUUUACAGAAAACUCUCAGAGACAUCUUGACUUUUUUGGUCUUCAAUGAUUACUCUUAAAUCAGUCCUCAAAUAUUUGUAAUAAUCUUUUGAUGAAACUUGCUCAUAGUGUUUGAUGACUGUUGUUUGAUGUUUGGUAUUUGUAUUGUGUUUUGUUUUGUUUUUAGGUAUGGAUCAAACAAGAACCAAGAGUUGAAAAGUCAAUCUCCAGUAAGGGCUAAGGCAUUCACCUGGGCCUGGAACACACUGGAGGAAUGGAACAAAACAGGAGCAGGUCUCAUCUUGUGCAGGGAGAGGCUGGCACACCCUUUACACACACACACAAUAAACAGAUACAUGGAGUGAACUGGCUCUUGCACCCUCUAUAAGUUCCAAGGAGUACUCAGCUAUGAAUUGGGGCAAAGGAAAAGACUCAUAGGCUGACUGGAAUUAGCCAUGCAUUCUAUCCUUCAUUCCACCGGAGUCUGUGUCAUGAACCAUUCAGAUUUCAGUGGUGUGAAGAGUA
rnacentral:lncRNA from 1 species